rnacentral:rRNA from 1 species
GAAACCUUUGCAAUGUGCGAAAGCACGACAAGGUUAAUCCGAGUGUCUCCUGCUAAAGGAGUCUUUUGUUAGUCGUAGAACCACUAGUGAAUAAGGGGUGGGCAAGUUCUGGUGUCAGCCGCCGCGGUAAAACCAGCACCUCGAGUGGUCAGGAGGUUUAUUGGGCCUAAAGCAUCCGUAGCCGGUUGUUUAAGUCUUCGGUUAAAUCUAUGCGCUUAACGUAUAGGCUGCCGAAGAUACUGGACAGCUAGGGAGUGGGAGAGGUAUACGGUACUCGAUAGGAAGGGGUAAAAUCCUUUGAUCUAUUGAUGACCACCUGUGGCGAAGGCGGUAUACCAGAACACGUUCGACGGUGAGGGAUGAAAGCUGGGGGAGCAAACCGG